rnacentral:rRNA from 1 species
UACGAAGGGGGCUAGCGUUGCUCGGAUUUACUGGGCGUAAAGGGCGCGUAGGCGGACAGUUAAGUUGGGGGUGAAAGCCCGGGGCUCAACCUCGGAAUUGCCUUCAAUACUGGCUGUCUUGAGUGUGAGAGAGGUGUGUGGAACUCCGAGUGUAGAGGUGAAAUUCGUAGAUAUUCGGAAGAACACCAGUGGCGAAGGCGACACACUGGCUCACUACUGACGCUGAGGCGCGAGAGCGUGGGGAGCAAACCGG